rnacentral:misc_RNA from 1 species
GAAAUGCGAUAAGUAAUGUGAAUUGCAGAAUUCAGUGAAUCAUCGAAUCUUUGAACGCACAUUGCGCCCGCCAGUAUUCUGGCGGGCAUGCCUGUUCGAGCGUCAUUACAACCCUCAGCCCCCCGGGCCUGGCGUUGGGGAUCGGCGGAAGCCCCCUGCGGGCACAACGCCGUCCCCCAAAUACAGUGGCGGUCCCGCCGCAGCUUCCAUUGCGUAGUAGCUAACACCUCGCAACUGGAGAGCGGCGCGGCCACGCCGUAAAACACCCAACUUCUGAAUGUUGACCUCGAAUCAGGUAGGAAUACCCGCUGAACUUAAGC